rnacentral:rRNA from 1 species
UACGUAGGGGGCAAGCGUUGUCCGGAAUUAUUGGGCGUAAAGAGCGUGUAGGCGGUCCGGUAAGUCAGCUGUGAAAGUCAAGGGCUCAACCCUUGAAAGCCGGUUGAUACUGUCGGGCUAGAGUACGGAAGAGGCGAGUGGAAUUCCUGGUGUAGCGGUGGAAUGCGCAGAUAUCAGGAGGAACACCAAUAGCGAAGGCAGCUCGCUGGGACGUUACUGACACUGAGGCGCGAAAGCGUGGGGAGCGAACAGG